rnacentral:rRNA from 1 species
CGGCCGCGUCGACGGCUCAGAUUGAACGCUGGCGGCAUGCCUAACACAUGCAAGUCGAACGGUAACAGGCCUUCGGGCGCUGACGAGUGGCGGACGGGUGCGUAACGCGUGGGAAUCUGCCCAAUAGUGGGGGAUAACCCGGGGAAACUCGGGCUAAUACCGCAUACUCCCCAUGGGGGAAAGCGGGGGACCGCAAGGCCUCGCGCUAUUGGAUGAGCCCGCGUCCGAUUAGCUAGUUGGUGGGGUAAAGGCCUACCAAGGCGACGAUCGGUAGCUGGUCUGAGAGGACGACCAGCCACACUGGGACUGAGACACGGCCCAGACUCCUACGGGAGGCAGCAGUGGGGAAUAUUGGACAAUGGGGGAAACCCUGAUCCAGCAAUGCCGCGUGUGUGAAGAAGGCCUGCGGGUUGUAAAGCACGUUUCGGCGGGAAAGAAAGUCGCGCGUUAAUACCGUGCGGCCUUGACGUUACCCGCAAAAGAGCACCGGCUAACUCCGUGCCAGCAGCCGCGGUAAUACGGAGGUGCAAGCGUUAAUCGGAAUUACGUGGGCGUAAAGCGACCG